rnacentral:rRNA from 1 species
UAAUAGCUCACUGGUCGAGUCGGCCUGCGCGGAAGAUGUAACGGGGCUAAACCAUGCACCGAAGCUGCGGCAGCGACGCUUAUGCGUUGUUGGGUAGGGGAGCGUUCUGUAAGCCUGUGAAGGUGUGCUGUGAGGCAUGCUGGAGGUAUCAGAAGUGCGAAUGCUGACAUAAGUAACGAUAAAGCGGGUGAAAAGCCCGCUCGCCGGAAGACCAAGGGUUCCUGUCCAACGUUAAUCGGGGCAGGGUGAGUCGACCCCUAAGGCGAGGCCGAAAGGCGUAGUCGAUGGGAAACAGGUUAAUAUUCCUGUACUUGGUGUUACUGCGAAGGGGGGACGGAGAAGGCUAUGUUGGCCGGGCGACGGUUGUCCCGGUUUAAGCGUGUAGGCUGGUUUUCCAGGCAAAUCCGGAAAACCAAGGCUGAGGCGUGAUGACGAGGCACUACGGUGCUGAAGCAACAAAUGCCCUGCUUCCAGGAAAAGCCUCUAAGCAUCAGGUAACAUCAAAUCGUACCCCAAACCGACACAGGUGGUCAGGUAGAGAAUACCAAGGCGCUUGAGAGAACUCGGGUGAAGGAACUAGGCAAAAUGGUGCCGUAACUUCGGGAGAAGGCACGCUGAUAUGUAGGUGAAGCGACUAGCUCGUGGAGCUGAAAUCAGUCGAAGAUACCAGCUGGCUGCAACUGUUUAUUAAAAACACAGCACUGUGCAAACACGAAAGUGGACGUAUACGGUGUGACGCCUGCCCGGUGCCGGAAGGUUAAUUGAUGGGGUUAGCGGCAACGCGAAGCUCUUGAUCGAAGCCCCGGUAAACGGCGGCCGUAACUAUAACGGUCCUAAGGUAGCGAAAUUCCUUGUCGGGUAAGUUCCGACCUGCACGAAUGGCGUAAUGAUGGCCAGGCUGUCUCCACCCGAGACUCAGUGAAAUUGAACUCGCUGUGAAGAUGCAGUGUACCCGCGGCAAGACGGAAAGACCCCGUGAACCUUUACUAUAGCUUGACACUGAACAUUGAGCCUUGAUGUGUAGGAUAGGUGGGAGGCUUUGAAGUGUGGACGCCAGUCUGCAUGGAGCCGACCUUGAAAUACCACCCUUUAAUGUUUGAUGUUCUAACGUUGGCCCGUAAUCCGGGUUGCGGACAGUGUCUGGUGGGUAGUUUGACUGGGGCGGUCUCCUCCUAAAGAGUAACGGAGGAGCACGAAGGUU